ensembl:lncRNA
CUGGGAGCAGCUGCUCUGUCUCCAGGCAGCAGGUGCUCAUUUUGCUCAGAGUGAGCAGGCAGGAUGUGGAUACUGGGAGAAAAAAGCAGAAAAGAAGCAGAGGAUGAAAAGAAAGCUGACUACCUGGGCUGCUGCUGGGAUGGGACAUGCUAGAGCUUUUCAGAAGGCCAUUCUAUGAUUCAAUGCAAUGCACCUGAGUGACCCAGAUGUCGUUUAAGGGUUGGCAGUGGAAGCAAGAGCGUCUCUUGCAAGAGAUCCUUGCCUACCUGAAGUCUUCCAAAGGUAGUAAUUCAGCUGCCCAGGGGCACCUACCACGGCAGCCUGUUUGUUGCUGGGGCACCUCUUAUGCUGGGCUCCAGGCUUGGUCCUGUCUGGGCUUUGCUGCAGUGCUUCCCCACACUGAAAGGCAGCACAGGAUGCCUGUUUCUAAUGACCUCUUCCUCGUGGCCCAGAAUUCAGAGCAACGGUGCGUGCAGGAAGGAAGGAGUCAUUCCCAGCUCAGUGAUUCGCAGCAUCCGUGACCACUGAGACCUGACCAGGAGCACACGUCACAACCAGGCCCACAGCUCUGGGUUUGCCUGGAAAAUCUUGAGGCAGGAG